rnacentral:rRNA from 1 species
AUUGAACGCUGGCGGCAUGCCUUACACAUACAAGUCGAACGGUAACGGGCCUUCGGGUGCCGACGAGUGGCGAACGGGUGAGUAAUGUAUCGGAACGUACCUUUCAGUGGGGGAUAACGUAGCGAAAGUUACGCUAAUACCGCAUAUUCUGUGCGCAGGAAAGCAGGGGAUCGCAAGACCUUGCGCUGAUUAAGCGGCCGAUAUCAGAUUAGCUAGUUGGUGAGGUAAAGGCUCACCAAGGCGACGAUCUGUAGCGGGUCUGAGAGGAUGAUCCGCCACACUGGAACUGAGACACGGUCCAGACUCCUACGGGAGGCAGCAGUGGGGAAUUUUGGACAAUGGGGGCAACCCUGAUCCAGCCAUGCCGCGUGAGUGAAGAAGGCCUUCGGGUUGUAAAGCUCUUUCGGCCGGGAAGAAAUCGCAUGGGCUAAUACCCUGUGCGGAUGACGGUACCGGCAUAAGAAGCACCGGCUAACUACGUGCCAGCAGCCGCCGUAACAC